GUGCCAGCCGCCGCGGUAAUACCGGCAGCCCGAGUGAUGGCCGAUCUUAUUGGGCCUAAAGCGUCCGUAGCUGGCCGCGCAAGUCCAUCGGAAAAUCCACCCGCCCAACGGGUGGGCGUCCGGUGGAAACUGUGUGGCUUGGGACCGGAAGGCGCGACGGGUACGUCCGGGGUAGGAGUGAACUCCCAUAAUCCCGCACGGACCACCGAUGGCGAAAGCACUCCGAGAAAACGGAUCCGACAGUGAGGGACGAAAGCCAGGGUCUCCAACCGGAUUAGAAACCCUAGUAGUCC
rnacentral:rRNA from 1 species